UCGUGAACCUUAUUCUUCUUCUCUUUCUCUUUCUCUGCUCUCACAAAUUUAGCAGUGUUUCCCCAAGAUUUUUAUCUAAAAUAUCAAAAUAGUCUCAAAUAUCACACACUUCGUACUUCCUCUUUUUCCUUCACCUCUAUGCUUCUUACUAUUUUUCUCUCAUUCUAAAUGUCUUUUCCUCCCUUCUCCUAUCCCCUAUUUAUAGGAGUGGGGAGCCACGAGUGAAAAGUUGCCACCAUUCUGUCUUACAAUUUCAUCUAAAAGUUGUCACAUUUCAUCAUAUCACUACACUUAAAAUAUAGGUACAUAAUCCAAGGAAAAAACAAUUAUGCAUUUACGUAAUGAUU
rnacentral:lncRNA from 1 species